rnacentral:ncRNA from 1 species
UCAUAAAAAUGCCACCCUCGUUGAGAAACGAGUCCGGAAAGCCCGCGGGUCUUGGGUUUGUGCAACACUAGAAGAUAGCCGGGUUGCCUCU